GACGAGGGGUCCUAGCGUUGUUCGGAAUCACUGGGCGUAAAGCGCAUGUAGGCGGCUUGAUAAGUCAGUUGUGAAAGCCCUGGGCUCAACCCAGGAAGUGCAUCUGAUACUGUCGAGCUUGAGUAUGAGAGAGGGUAGUAGAAUUCCUGGUGUAGUGGUGAAAUACGUAGAUAUCAGGAGGAAUACCGGUGGCGAAGGCGGCUACCUGGCUCAAUACUGACGCUGAGAUGCGAAAGCGUGGGGAUCAAACAGG
rnacentral:rRNA from 1 species